GCUGGAUGCAGUGGCACUUGCCUGUAGUUCCAGCUACUUGGGAGGCUGAGGCAGGAGGAUCGCUUGAGUCCAGGAGUUCUGGGCUGUAGUGUGCUGUACUGAUUGGCUCUCUGCACUAAGUUUGGCAUCAGUAAGGUGACCUCCCAGGAGCAGGGGACCACCACAUUGCCCAAGGAGGAGUGAACCGGCCCAGAUCCGAAAUGGAGCCGGUCAGAACUCCCAUGCUGAUCUGUGGGAUCACGCCUGUGAAUAGCCACUGCUUUCCAGCCUGGGCAACAUAGGGAGACCUGGUUUCUA
ensembl:misc_RNA Metazoa_SRP Metazoan signal recognition particle RNA